rnacentral:sRNA from 1 species
UCUAAGUUCAGCUUCAUUUUCUUCUUCUUGCUCUGACUUCUCUCUACUUUUCCACCACUUCCCACCGUUGAAAUUUCAAAUAGGUAAUGUGCUUUCGUUCACGGAGUUGAGAGCUUUCCCUUGAUCCGAUUAGAUUUUUGUUUUGGACGGAUCCUGUUGAACUUGCUUCUGUGCAAGAGUACUGUUUUGGAGUUUCCUCUAAAGAGUGUUGUGCUUGUAACCACUAAGGUAUGUUUGAUGGACGUAAUUCCAUGGACCUCACAGGGGGUUGCAUGGUGGUGCCUCAUGUUGUGAUCCACAGUGAAUUCUCUUGUUGAGAUUCAAGUAUGUGUAGAAUGAUUGCAUGGUAGCUCAGUCUUGGGGGUUUUCCUGACGCUCCAAUGGUCUUUCAUUCUCAAGUAGAGAGGAUUGAUCCAUGUGGUGAGGAGUAGCAGGAGGUCCUAGUCUUGGAGGCUUCCAGUAUGCUCCAGGGCGCGAAACGGACUAACCUCGUGAGUGUGGUAGGGUGGAACCCAUUGGCAACGGCUUUGCAAAGCAGUAGAGGCCACCACGAGUGCAUAACCCGCCAUAGCUCGAUGGCGAGGAGGUUUUUUUGGAGACGGCCUUAGAAGUUGAGGACAAUGCUGCUGCCUAGUCUCCUUAGGAUGUUAUCGAUUAUUGUUAGGAUGUUAUCGAUUAUUGUCUGUAUUUUGAAAUACUGUUUCCUUUAAGUUUAAUUUCUGAAAUUACUUUGAG